UACCAGCCACCCGAGUGGGUCGGGAUCGAUUGAUUGGGCCUAAAGCAUCCGUAGCCGGUUUUACAAGUCCUCCGUUAAAUCCAGCUGCUUAACAGAUGGGCUGCGGAGGAUACUAUAAGACUAGGAGGCAGGAGAGGCAAGCGGUACUCAGUGGGUAGGGGUAAAAUCCGUUGAUCCAUUGAAGACCACCAGUGGCGAAGGCGGCUUGCCAGAAUGCGCUCGACGGUGAGGGAUGAAGCUGGGGGAGCAAACCGG
rnacentral:rRNA from 1 species